rnacentral:rRNA from 2 species
CUUGACCUCGGAUCAGGUAGGGA